rnacentral:rRNA from 1 species
ACAUGCAAGUCGAACGCUGAAGCCCCAGCUUGCUGGGGUGGAUGAGUGGCGAACGGGUGAGUAACACGUGAGUAACCUUCCCUUGACUCUGGGAUAAGCCCGGGAAACUGGGUCUAAUACCGGAUACGACCUCCUGCCGCAUGGUGUGGGGGUGGAAAGAUUUAUCGGUUUUGGAUGGACUCGCGGCCUAUCAGCUUGUUGGUGAGGUAAUGGCUCACCAAGGCGACGACGGGUAGCCGGCCUGAGAGGGUGACCGGCCACACUGGGACUGAGACACGGCCCAGACUCCUACGGGAGGCAGCAGUGGGGAAUAUUGCACAAUGGGCGCAAGCCUGAUGCAGCGACGCCGCGUGAGGGAUGACAGCCUUCGGGUUGUAAACCUCUUUCAGUAGGGAAGAAGCGAAAGUGACGGUACCUGCAGAAGAAGCGCCGGCUAACUACGUGCCAGCAGCCGCGGUAAUACGUAGGGCGCGAGCGUUAUCCGGAAUUAUUGGGCGUAAAGAGCUCGUAGGCGGUUUGUCGCGUCUGCCGUGAAAGUCCGGGGCUUAACCCCGGAUCUGCGGUGGGUACGGGCAGACUAGAGUGCAGUAGGGGAGACUGGAAUUCCUGGUGUAGCGGUGAAAUGCGCAGAUAUCAGGAGGAACACCGAUGGCGAAGGCAGGUCUCUGGGCUGUUACUGACGCUGAGGAGCGAAAGCAUGGGGAGCGAACAGGAUUAGAUACCCUGGUAGUCCAUGCCGUAAACGUUGGGCACUAGGUGUGGGGGACAUUCCACGUUUUCCGCGCCGCAGCUAACGCAUUAAGUGCCCCGCCUGGGGAGUACGGCCGCAAGGCUAAAACUCAAAGGAAUUGACGGGGGCCCGCACAAGCGGCGGAGCAUGCGGAUUAAUUCGAUGCAACGCGAAGAACCUUACCAAGGCUUGACAUGUUCCC